UUCGCCCUUAGAGUUUGAUCCUGGCUCAGAACGAACGCUGGCGGCAUGCCUAACACAUGCAAGUCGAACGAAGCCUUCGGGUUUAGUGGCGCACGGGUGCGUAACGCGUGGGAAUCUGCCCUUUGGUUCGGAAUAACAGUUGGAAACGACUGCUAAUACCGGAUGAUGACGAAAGUCCAAAGAUUUAUCGCCAGAGGAUGAGCCCGCGUAGGAUUAGCUAGUUGGUGUGGUAAAGGCGCACCAAGGCGACGAUCCUUAGCUGGUCUGAGAGGAUGAUCAGCCACACUGGGACUGAGACACGGCCCAGACUCCUACGGGAGGCAGCAGAAGGG
rnacentral:rRNA from 1 species